rnacentral:rRNA from 1 species
GCGGUAAUACGGAGGGGGCUAGCGUUGUUCGGAAUUACUGGGCGUAAAGGGCGUGUAGGCGGAUGAUCAAGCUAGAGGUGAAAGCCCAGGGCCUAACCCUGGAACUGCCUUUAGAACUGAUUGUCUAGAAUCCGUAAGGGGAGUGUGGAAUUCCAAGUGUAGAGGUGAAAUUCGUAGAUAUUAGGAGGAACACCAGUGGCGAAGGCGGCUCACUGGCUCGGUACUGACGCUGAGGUGCGAAA